UAGUCAUUCUUCAACUUCCUCAAAGGUCUAAUACUCGUGGAAGAGGGGCAAUGAACCGUAACACCGCGCCGCGAAUGGACGUCCAUCAUCGACAAUGGGUUGUGAUUUUUCCAAAAAGCAAGAGGAAUCGACCAUGAUACUACCUCAUCCAACGCGUUCUUCGUUCUGAUGGAGCUUUGAAUGGGAUUUUCGCUCCAAUGGAUUCUUCAAUCGAUCUUGGCUCGAAGCCUUUUAUCGCUUUUCGGAGCGAUUCCUCCGCCUACUGAUCGAUUUGAUGAUGGAUAUUCUCGGCAACAUUGAGUUUGGAGAGGAUUCACUUCUCCGUUUCGGCGAGCACGGGGUUGGAAAACUGAUGUUGAAAGGAAGACGCCGCAAUUGCGCUUUAAGAAAUCAACACAACUGUAUCAAGUUAAUUUUCCCCAAUCAUGGAUUCUCGCUUGAACUUAUCAACAAUCUCUUAAGUGAUUCAAUUUGAGCCGGCGUGAAUCGAAGCGAAUACGAUGCUUUACCGUAACGAUAAGACAGUUUGAGCGAUUCAGACGCGAAUGGGUGUGAAUUAAAGCGAAUACAACGCUUUACCAGGUUCAACUGCAGAAACAGAAGCAGGCUUUGUCUUGAAUUCCGUUCAUAGAAAGGGACUUGAGAAGAAAACGAAAAUGUGAGGAAGGGAAUCGAAGGCGUAUUGUUGAUUGAAGAAGGAUUCUGCAUGAGGAUAGUGAAAGAAUCCCGUUGAACUGAAGGUAAGGUUGAGUUUUGAGGAUUCUGCAGGUAGGGGAUGAGCCAGCCUAAUGUGACUUUGUUGCAGAAUUUGCAGAGUCAAAUUUGCAGGUUUGAAUUGAUUUGCGGCUACAGGUUGCAGAACUUUGAAGAAGGUGAAAGCAAUUGGGAGAGUGAGAAAUGAAGAGGAUGAAGAAAGAGAUGGAAUAACUCUGAAGAAUCACCAUGAUGUUAGCUUUUAUAGUGUGUGAAUGCCCAAGUUGGAUGAUACUUCUAUUGCCGACAUGAAACGAAAGAGUGCAGAAUGCACGAUGUCGGUAUGUUAUGGAAUACAGGUACAAACGAACGAACCUGGUAGUAGCUUACAUCCAGAGAGAUGCCAUGAGUCCUGGUAGCAAAAGGGUUAAUUGAUCCUUGGCGCUUAGUGGUUGAAACGGAACCGAAGUGAGCUUGGUGAUUGUUUUCCCGUUAUUACUUAAAGGCUUGAUUUGGGUGUGCACCAUUAGAUUUAUCAAGUGAAGGUUAUGAAUGGUACAGUAUCGACUAGGUUGGACUGAAAUGUCAAAGCCAAAAACUCAUUGGUGGUUGGAAGGCGGUUGGUCACACGGUUUCGUAGCAGUCACGGCAGGACAGGUUGCACCUUUUUCGGAGAUGUCUUGGAACUGGAGUUUGGAAUUGUACAUAUUUAAAGUACUUUGUGGUUCCUGAGCAUACAUGUUAACUCUAGAUUAUUUAGAGUUUGCACUUGAUUUGUUCAUAAGUAAAUUGGGUUGUAACCGAAUGAUAAAUCAAAAUUGUAACCGAGUUAAAAGGUAGUAAUCAGUACUUAAGAGGGAAGUUGAACAGUUU